UACGGGGGGUGCGAGCGUUGUCCGGAAUCACUGGGCGUAAAGGGCGCGUAGGUGGCCUGAUAAGGGUGUGGUGAAAGUCCGGGGCUCAACCCCGGAGCUGCCGUGCCGACUGUUAGGCUAGAGUACUGUAGGGGCAGGCGGAAUUCCGGGUGUAGCGGUGGAAUGCGUAGAGAUCCGGAGGAAGACCGGUGGCGAAGGCGGCCUGCUGGGCAGUUACUGACACUGAGGCGCGACAGCGUGGGGAGCAAACAGG
rnacentral:rRNA from 1 species